ensembl:snoRNA
CUGGAGGUGAUGACACCCCUGGACUGAGCCCCGUGAUGGGUGUUGUGUUCGUACUGUCUGAUCCGG